rnacentral:rRNA from 1 species
UGGGGAAUUUUGGACAAUGGGCGCAAGCCUGAUCCAGCCAUGCCGCGUGCAGGAUGAAGGCCUUCGGGUUGUAAACUGCUUUUGUACGGAACGAAAAGGUGCCUUCUAAUAAAGGGCGCUCAUGACGGUACCGUAAGAAUAAGCACCGGCUAACUACGUGCCAGCAGCCGCGGUAAUACGUAGGGUGCGAGCGUUAAUCGGAAUUACUGGGCGUAAAGCGUGCGCAGGCGGUUUUGUAAGACAGAGGUGAAAUCCCCGGGCUCAACCUGGGAACUGCCUUUGUGACUGCAAGGCUGGAGUGCGGCAGAGGGGGAUGGAAUUCCGCGUGUAGCAGUGAAAUGCGUAGAUAUGCGGAGGAACACCGAUGGCGAAGGCAAUCCCCUGGGCCUGCACUGACGCUCACGCACGAAAGCGUGGGGAGCAAACA